CUUCUAUCUACUAUUCAUGGAUUUAUGGAUAUAUUAUAUGCAAUUUUUUUUUUUUUUUUGUAAAUUUUCCGAUCUGGGCUUGUUUGGAAUCGGUUCUCAAUGCACAAUAUGAAGUGGGAGUUGUUUGAUUGUUGUUGUUAUGGUAAAAUUUUGGGAAGUUUGGUUCUCUUUUAUCUGGGUUUUCCUCCAAUUCUUUUGGUAAUUAUCUUCUGGGACUGUUUGGUUCCCCAGAAAACAUAAGAAAAAAAGAAAAAAGAAGAGAGACUAGAGCUUAGAUUUUAUAACACUAAAUUGAAUCCCUGCUUGAACCCGUCAUGAUUAUUCAAAUUUUCGUUAGAAAAAGCGUACGAUGGAGUCUUUGUGGAGACAACAUGACGGGUUUUAGGAAAGAAAGGAGUGUCAUUCAAAUACAUUUGAUUAAGGAAAUGUAUGAUGGAGCAAUAAUUAGCCCUGGAAAAUUGAAAAGAGUGAUAAGUGAUCGUCCAUUUACAAAAACAAUACAUUUAAGGAUUUGUGCUGUGUCCUUAAUUCUUCUCUUUAUGCGUUGGUUUUGGAUGAGCUUACUAGGCAUGUGAUGUUAUGAGUCUAGUUGAUAAAACUUAAGGUUUAAUUUCAAUUGAAUUGUGAAGAGAGGAUUUACAAUUUAGAUGUUUUGAGCUAAGCCGGAGUGCAAGACUAAGAUGAAAAAUAUAAAUAUGAUUUGUUUAAACCUUGGUUAGAAAUGGGGAUAUCAUGAGAAUUGGUUUUUGUUUACAAUUCUGGCCUUGGUAGAUGAAAGACCGUAGAAAAUUCAGAGGGUGAUUGGUUUGGGGUAGGGUUACAAGCCUAAGCAAGAUGUUGAUUGAUUAGGCAACUGGUUGCAGAGAUACACAAUCAAGAGGGUUCAUGUGUGGCUGAGGGUGGUGAGUAGCAAAUACUGGGAGGAGGUAGAAAGGUGGACUUGGAAGGAGGGGUGGGACUCUGACUCCUCCCAAAUCAUCUUGUGGAAAAAUAUUGGAAAAGUAUGACAAGAGCCUGCUUGCAGAGAAGCUUUCUGAAAGUUACUUUACUAAAUCCAUUUGCUUUGGCCAAGCCAAAGAAGUAAAAGUGCUUCAGCAUUGCAAGGAGGGAGGUAUGGUGCAGGAAGAUAAAAUCUCUGGUUGCUAACAGGACUGUGUUUCCCCUCUAAAAUCCUUCUUGGUGGGUCUUGUAUGAGGAUCUUGACUGUGGUGAUUACAACUCUCUGCUUAGUUUGAUUGCAAUUUGGUGGGGUUGUUUAAACCAACAACCUUCACAGCAGCUAAUAGCAAAAUUUUAUUUGAUUAUAAAAUCUAGAUUGUUAUUUGACAUUCAGGUACAUAUCUAGAAAGUUACUUUACUAAAUCCAUUUGCUUUGGCCAAGCCAAAGAAGUAAAAGUGCUUCAGCAUUGCAAGGAGGGAGGUAUGGUGCAGGAAGAUAAAAUCUCUGGUUGCUAACAGGACUGUGUUUCCCCUCUAAAAUCCUUCUUGGUGGGUCUUGUAUGAGGAUCUUGACUGUGGUACAUAUGGAAUGGUGUAAUUUUUCAAGGCAAGAAGUAUUUUGCUCCUUAAUUAUAGAAAGAACUGUCCAGGCAACAGAGAGUGAUUGUAAUAACUUUUGAGGAUGGUAGGAAUGAAACAUUAAUCGGAAGGAAAAUUUAUAAGCAGAAGGUGGAUGCUGUCUUCUAAGCCAUGUAAUCAACUAAACUGGUGGUUUCUUUAGUAGUGAUUGAAGAAGUAGCUUCGUUCAUAAUCUUCCUCUACUCUGCAGAUUGUUUUACAUCUCUUUUUGGAGCUUUUCUUCUUGUUUUAAUCAGAUUUUGGAUAUUCUGGAAGGAUGCCUCAUCCUUCUUGCUCCUUGCCAAUUAAUAAAAGUGAUUGGUGUGUUUCUGAUGGAAAAAGGAAGUAGCUUUGUCAUUAGAGAAUGCACUGGACUACACAUUUGGGCUCACUCUGUGGGUUGGAAAGGCUUUGUCAUUAGCUUAUGGAAGUUCUUCCCUAAGAAAUGGCCUCAUUGGAGCCAGUGAGUGUGGUUGAGAACUGGUUUGUUCAGUGAUGAAAGAGGCUUUUAUGCCAGUCUCGGACAAUUCCUUGCAUUUUACAUUAUUACUAGGAACCCAUAGGAGUUAUAAUACAGAAACUCUGACAUUUUCUUGUUCUUAUGGGUAAACUAAUCCGGAUGCUGACUUCCUAGCAAAUUUGGUAACUCAACUAAUCUAGGCAGCAGUUGGGAAAUUAUCAAUAGGAUCUCAAGGUCAAUUGAUAGCUGAUCAGAGCGGCCUUGCUCAGGCUCUAAGUUUCCAAAAAGAUUGUGAUGCUCAAGAAGUCAAGAGAGAUGGAAAGAGGUGGAAAGAAGAAACUAGAAGAUGAAGAGGAAAAAAACCACUUCCAGAACUAUGUUUGGCUUUCUCCUAGAGCC